AUUGAACGCUGGCGGCAUGCCUUACACAUGCAAGUCGAACGGCAGCACGGGUGCUUGCACCUGGUGGCGAGUGGCGAACGGGUGAGUAAUACAUCGGAACAUGUCCUGUAGUGGGGGAUAGCCCGGCGAAAGCCGGAUUAAUACCGCAUACGAUCUACGGAUGAAAGCGGGGGACCUUCGGGCCUCGCGCUAUAGGGUUGGCCGAUGGCUGAUUAGCUAGUUGGUGGGGUAAAGGCCUACCAAGGCGACGAUCAGUAGCUGGUCUGAGAGGACGACCAGCCACACGGGGACUGAGAAACGGCCCAGACUCCUACGGGAGGCAGCAGUGGGGAAUGUUGGACAAUGGGCGAAAGCCUGAUCAAGCAAUGCCGCGUGUGUGAAGAAGGCCUUCGGGUUGUAAAGAACUUUUGUCCGGAAAGAAAUCCUUGGCCCUAAUACGGUCGGGGGAUGACGGUACCGGAAGAAUAAGCACCGGCUAACUACGUG
rnacentral:rRNA from 1 species